rnacentral:rRNA from 1 species
GAUGAACGCUAGCGGGAGGCCUAACACAUGCAAGCCGAGCGGUAUUUGUUCUUCGGAGCAGAGAGAGCGGCGCACGGGUGCGGAACACGCGUGCAACCUGCCUUUAUCUGGGGGAUAGCCUUUCGAAAGGAAGAUUAAUACCCCAUAAUAUAUUGAGUGGCAUCAUUUGAUAUUGAAAACUCCGGUGGAUAGAGAUGGGCACGCGCAAGAUUAGAUAGUGGGUGAGGUAACGGCUCACCAAGUCAGUGAUCUUUAGGGGGCCUGAGAGAGUGAUCCCCCACACGGGUACAGGGACACGGACCAGACUCCUACGACAGGCAGCAGAGACGAAUAGUAGGCAGCGGGUGAGAGCCUGAUCCAGCCAGCCCGCGUGUAGGCCGACGGCCCUGUGUGAUGUAAGCUUGUUUUGUAGAGGGAUAAACCUACUCUCGUGGGAGUAGCUGAAAGUACUAGACGAAUAAGCACCGGCUAACUCCGUG